GACGAACGCUGGCGGCGUGCUUAACACAUGCAAGUCGAACGGAAAGGCCCUGCUUUUGUGGGGUGCUCGAGUGGCGAACGGGUGAGUAGCACGUGAGUAACCUGCCCUUGACUUUGGGAUAACUUCAGGAAACUGGGGCUAAUACCGGAUAGGAGCUCCUGCUGCAUGGUGGGGGUUGGAAAGUUUCGGCGGUUGGGGAUGGACUCGCGGCUUAUCAGCUUGUUGGUGGGGUAGUGGCUUACCAAGGCUUUGACGGGUAGCCGGCCUGAGAGGGUGACCGGCCACAUUGGGACUGAGAUACGGCCCAGACUCCUACGGGAGGCAGCAGUGGGGAAUAUUGCACAAUGGGCGGAAGCCUGAUGCAGCAACGCCGCGUGCGGGAUGACGGCCUUCGGGUUGUAAACCGCUUUCGCCUGUGACGAAGCGUGAGUGACGGUAAUGGGUAAAGAAGCACCGGCUAACUACGUGCCAGCAGCCGCGGUGAUACGUAGGGUGCGAGCGUUGUCCGGAUUUAUUGGGCGUAAAGGGCUCGUAGGUGGUUGAUCGCGUCGGAAGUGUAAUCUUGGGGCUUAACCCUGAGCGUGCUUUCGAUACGGGUUGACUUGAGGAAGGUAGGGGAGAAUGGAAUUCCUGGUGGAGCGGUGGAAUGCGCAGAUAUCAGGAGGAACACCAGUGGCGAAGGCGGUUCUCUGGGCCUUUCCUGACGCUGAGGAGCGAAAGCGUGGGGAGCAAACAGGCUUAGAUACCCUGGUAGUCCACGCUGUAAACGGUGGGUACUAGGUGUGGGGUCCAUUCCACGGGUUCCGUGCCGUAGCUAACGCUUUAAGUACCCCGCCUGGGGAGUACGGCCGCAAGGCUAAAACUCGAAGGAAUUGACGGGGCCCCGCACAAGCGGCGGAGCAUGCGGAUUAAUUCGAUGCAACGCGUAGAACCUUACCUGGGUUUGACAUGGAUCGGGAGCGCUCAGAGAUGGGUGUGCCUCUUUUGGGGUCGGUUCACAGGUGGUGCAUGGCUGUCGUCAGCUCGUGUCGUGAGAUGUUGGGUUAAGUCCCGCAACGAGCGCAACCCUUGUUCACUGUUGCCAGCACGUUAUGGUGGGGACUCAGUGGAGACCGCCGGGGUCAACUCGGAGGAAGGUGGGGAUGACGUCAAGUCAUCAUGCCCCUUAUGUCCAGGGCUUCACGCAUGCUACAAUGGCUGGUACAGAGAGUGGCGAGCCUGUGAGGGUGAGCGAAUCUCGGAAAGCCGGUCUCAGUUCGGAUUGGGGUCUGCAACUCGAUCUCAUGAAGUCGGAGUCGCUAGUAAUCGCAGAUCAGCAACGCUGCGGUGAAUACGUUCCCGGGGCU
rnacentral:rRNA from 1 species